UGGUUCUUAUACGCUCCCUCCCCCCUUAUUUUUCUAACUUCAGUUCUAUACUAGCAAAACAAAACCUGUUUAUAUAUAUUUUCUAAAUUUUCAAAUUCAGAUUAAGAACGUUUUGCGACAAGUGGUGACCACGUCUAGGCCAAAUUUGCCGCGGAAAAAUUUACUGCAAAUUUGCAUAAAAAUUCACAAAAGAAAAAGAGCGCAUACACAGACUGUACGGACCACAUAGAUAGUAUCUGUUCCUAUUCGCAUCGCUUCUAUCGUUCGGAAAAUCGUAUGCAUGCCGUUACACAUGUAUCCGCAUACGUUACAAACGAUCCGUAUGCAAUCCGCAUGUAACACUGCCUGUUUGUCCAGUCAUCGCCUUCCCUCGCGACCAAUCUCAUAAAUCAAAAUUCCGUGAAACAAGAUCAGUCAGUCGUAUAUAAAAUACAUAUGCAUAAAGCAGAGAAGAGGAGCGAUCGUACCGCGCAUUAGAAACGCGACGUUGAAUUAAAUGCUUCAUCAAUUUACUGAAAUAUACUUGUGCGUCGCAGCUUUUUCGUCAAAUUUGCCGGUAAAACGAGAAAAUGUCGAGACUUAAGGCUCCUGGCUCCUUGCUGUAGCCAUCUUGAUUUAUGACGUCCGAAGCGAAAUACACACUAAAAAUGUUUUCUUCUAAAAACACGAAAAAAUAAAAAGAUGUAUCGAUAAAAUGACGCAGUCAAUCGAGCAGAUGUGUAAAAUAGCCCAAACAUUCCCAUUUUCUUCAGAUGUGCCCGAUCAAUUGCAAGUGUUAUUUUAUGGAUAUAUAUUUUUCCUUCGACGUAUUUUGCAAGAAUUUUUAUCUUUGACAUUCUCAAUCGAAAGUUCCGCGGCAAGGACCUGGAAACUUUAAAAUUCUGUUGAAUUCUGAUUAAACAGGCGUUGAGAGCUCAUUGCGAGAAUACUUGUCAGUAGCACGUAAUUACGCAGUCAAAUGUGAGCACUCUCUUUUUUGCUGAAAAUAUACGGAACAUUCUGCACUCGGCAAAAGAAAAAUCCAAAGGAAGCCUAUUUGAAAUCCGUUCGUCACGCACGGUUUGCGACUUUGAUAAAGAGCAGGUCCGCUUUACCGUUUACCGUUUAUGUGGAUGGAUUGAUGCUGCCCGUCGCGUGUACGGCACGCCUCGCUUCGUUGCGUUACCAGCCGUCCACUCCCACGCGACUCCCCCUGUAUGCUGUCACUACUCUCCAUCCAGGGCCGACCGACUACAUCGCGGAGUCCCGAACAGCGAAUAUUUUCUUGGAGGACUCAACAGAUAAAUCAAGGUGUUCUUUACAUUUUUCUAAAUAUCAAGCCUUGAUUAUUUGGAGAAAAGUGCGAAACAUGAUCAAGCAAUAAUUGCUCUAACGUCCAUCCGGCUAAUUGAUGAGGCACGCGAUUACACAAUACACCGCAACUUGUUUUAAACAUUCUCACUGAUAACAAUGGGUCCGGUAUGCAUUUAAACCUAUCAAAGCGUUUCGAUUCUGUAAAGAUUUGUAGCAUAUUUAUCAUUAAUAAU